rnacentral:rRNA from 1 species
ACUUNCAUGGNAGCAAGUCUGAUGGAGCAACGCCGCGUGAGUGAAGAAGGUUUUCGGAUCGUAAAGCUCUGUUGUUGGUGAAGAAGGAUAGAGGUAGUAACUGGCCUUUAUUUGACGGUAAUCAACCAGAAAGUCACGGCUAACUACGUGCCAGCAGCCGCGGUAAUACA